CCCUACCAACAGCAUGUACCUUGACGUGGUGGUAGGGCAACUAAUUGAUCAACACUUAGACAUUGAAAAGUACAACUUUGGAUCAUGUCGGGAGCUGAUCAAUUAGACUAAACAUGC
rnacentral:ribozyme from 1 species